GGAAGGAUAGUUCAACGGUAGAACAGCACUUAUAGUUGCCAUUUGCCAUAAUGAAUAGCAGACACAGGUUCGACUCCUGCCCUUCCA
rnacentral:tRNA from 1 species